rnacentral:misc_RNA from 1 species
GAUGAAGAACGUAGCGAAAUGCGAUAAGUAAUGUGAAUUGCAGAAUUCAGUGAAUCAUCGAAUCUUUGAACGCACAUUGCGCCCGGCAGUACUCUGCCGGGCAUGCCUGUUCGAGCGUCAUUUCAACCCUCAAGCCCUGCUUGGUGUUGGGGUCCCACGGCCGCCGUGGGCCCUGAAAGGAAGUGGCGGGCUCGCUACAACUCCGAGCGUAGUAAUUCAUUAUCUCGCUUAGGGCGUUAGGCGGCGCUCCUGCCGUUAAAGAACCAUCUUUAACUCAAGGUUGACCUCGGAUCAGGUAGGAAUACCCGCUGAACUUAAGCAUAUCAAUAAGCGGAGGA